GCUUGGCAGAUGAAGAGAUUGGAAGUGAACCACUGAGAUGACUGAUGAGCGUCCUCAGCAGGCUGUGUUGCAGGGGGAAGAGUGCAGGUUGUUUAUAAGGCCUGGGUCGUGCCCCUGGCCACCAUUUCCUGGCUUUGUGACUCCAGCUUUACUUCUCCUUCCCAGGGCUCAGUUUUCCUCUCCUUGAAGGGGAUGAGUGGAACCAGCUCUGGACGCUGAGCUGCCUGGGUGUAAAGGCUUCCUGUAAUGGGCAGAAGAGUGGAUAGGAGGGCAGCAGGGGAGCUGGACCAAAAGCAUCAUGUGAUUUGCCGUGAUCACAGAGGAUUUUCUGGAAGUAGCUUGGGCACAAUGUGUGCAAGGAGACAGAAGGGUCUCGUGGUGGGGAAUAGGACAUUCACACAGCCUCCUCCAUGGCUUACCUCACACAGCAGUUGUUAAUUAGCCAAGAAUUUGACAAACAGGCAUUAAAGGCCUUCUGAAUGUGACACACGAC